GAUGAACGCUGGCGGCGUGCCUAAUACAUGCAAGUCGAGCGAACAGACGAGGAGCUUGCUCCUUUGACGUUAGCGGCGGACGGGUGAGUAACACGUAGGUAACCUACCUAUCAGACUGGGAUCACUUCGGGAAACCGGCGCUAAUACCGGAUAAUAUUUCGAACCGCAUGGUUCUAUAGUGAAAGAUGGCUUUGCUCUCACCUAUAGAUGGAUCUGCGCCGUAUUAGCUAGUUGGUAAGGUAACGGCUUACCAAGGCAACGAUACGUAGCCGACCUGAGAGGGUGAUCGGCCACACUGGAACUGAGACACGGUCCAGACUCCUACGGGAGGCAGCAGUAGGGAAUCUUCCGCAAUGGGCGAAAGCCUGACGGAGCAACGCCGCGUGAGUGAUGAAGGUCUUCGGAUCGUAAAACUCUGUUAUUAGGGAAGAACAAACGUGUAAGUAACUGUGCACGUCUUGACGGUACCUAAUCAGAAAGCCACGGCUAACUACGUG
rnacentral:rRNA from 1 species